UGAAGAGGAUCUUUUGGUCCAGGAGGAGGCGCCCUCGGCCGGGCCACUUCUCCACCAGCCCGUGGGCAUCCUGCCUGGGCUUUGGGUGUGCCGGAGGUGAAAGCCAGGCAGUGCCCAGAUACCUCGCUGGAUACUGCGCGGUGGGACAGCUCCACCGGGCUGCGAGUGUCGGCGCUGUAGCUACAGUGGAGCGUUUCCUCACGUUCCGGGUAAACGGUGUCAACGACCCAGACAAGAAGAACAGAACUGCACUGCACUAUGCUUGUGCGCAUGGCCACCUGGGGGUGGUAACUCUUCUCAUAGAGAGGAACUGCAACAUUAAUGCCUGCGAUGACGACAACUGCACGCCUCUCAUUAAGGCCUCACAGCAUCAGCAUGGGGACUGUGUGGCUGCCUUGCUACAACACGGUGCAGAUCCCAAUGCUGUGGAUGCUCUUGGAAACACUGCCCUCCACUAUGCAGUACACAGUGAAAACACAUUCAUAGCUUCCCAGCUCCUUGAACACAGCGCAAACAUUGAAGCCAAAACAAAGUGACUGGUAAGGAGGAAGUUGUUUUAAAAACCAGUACUCCAAGACAAAAAGCAUCUAAAGCCAGGAAAACAAACCUACCAUCCAACCAUCUGCAAAAGACAUCUCAAGAUCAAAAGGAGAAAAAGAAAUGUGAUGCAGGACAUAGACCUGCACAUUCAGGAUGUGCUCCUACGAAAACAGCAGAGGAAGCCCAGCAAGGGGAACAGCUUAACAAAGUCCUCAGAAACAAAUCAAGGUCAUUUCCUGAACCCUUUGAGAAAGAACUACCACCUAGCAUCUCUAAAGCAAAAGCCCACUUGAAGGAGAGAACCUGCCACACAUUUGAUGAAAAUGAACAGAAGUGAAAAUAAAGGCUAUUUUCCGGGAGAUUCCAUGGCAACGUUUGAGAAGUGUGCUGCAGACACAAGUGCUGAGCCACCAGUGAAGCAGAGCUGUGCUCGCCAACUCCAUCAGGACGGACAAAGCCCUGCAAAGAGCACAUCUAAAGAAAAGCACGAGGCCAAGAAGCAAAUCAACGGUGUGGAAGGCCUGGAAGAUGGGACUCUGCCGUGUGAAGCAGCCUCAGAUGACUAUAAAUUAUCUUAAAGAUUCAUGGGAAUCUAUGCAUUGCAAGUAUCUACAUCAAGAUAUAAACAUCCAGUUGACUGAGCAAGAAUUGUUAAAAAUAAAAACAGAACAUGAGAAUUAUGAACACCUUCACAAGACUCAAGGAAAUGUGGAAAAGGAGGUGCAAACCCUCAAAGGGCUGGCUCAGGAGAGUGUGACACAAGCAGAAGAGG
ensembl:processed_transcript Gm10044 predicted gene 10044